rnacentral:rRNA from 1 species
AUGGGGGAGACGAAGGCAGCGUUGAGAGGUAGGGGACGGGCAGCUCCUGCGCGGAGGAAGGCCGCCGGCGGUCAGCACAGCACCGGCGGAGCAGGAGGUCGUUGGCCGCGGCAGGGGAUCGGGCUGGCGCCGUCCCAAGUGGAUCCCUGCCGGGGGAGUUCGCCGCCGCGUAUUGGCGGCGGAUCCGGGGAUGCGCGGUGGUUGGGGAGUGCAUCACGGUUGGUGGUUGGUCUCCGGGGGAGCUCGACCACAGCGGCGGCCUGCGGCGCGCGGAGAGGCGGUGGCAAGCGGAGGAGCGGGGGUCCGACGGUGCACGGGGGGAGAGGGCGGGUCCGGCAGCGCGUCCCCGGCCCCCUCGCCGCCCCGCUGCUCCCGCGCCUGAGCCGGCCCCCGCGCCGCCCCACUCCUGGAUCCGGCCGCCUUCCCACCUUGCUCCCCCGGCAGCACCCGCCUCAGGCCGACGGCGCGACGAGGCCGAGCUCAGCCGCGCUCGCCACCCCGACGGCUCUCCCCGCACCAGCCACCUCCGCCCUUGCCUCCAACCACCGCCCCGAGCCCCCGACCACCUCCACCACCGCCCUCUGCCCCGACCACCUCCCUUCCACCCGCCCCCAAAUUCCCCUCCGGCGUGACCUUCCCACCACUCCGCCGCGACCUUCCCUCCCCUCCGACGCGGCCUGCCCUCCGCCCCUGUUUCUUGCACCGUGCUGCCGUCCCCACUCGCAAAUCGAGCCAGUUUACCAACUAGUGCUAUCGGCCUCUGCAGCAAAACCUGAACCAUCUUCUCUUGAAUUCCUCCAGCCUAACACACCCGUGAGAUCGCCUGACUACGACAACGACGUGCAAGGGACCCUCACCAUGGGUGUCGCGGACGAGUACGUGGGCGCCGUCAUCGGCUAUGCCGGGAGGACCAUACGUGAGAUCGAACGGGUUACGGGCGUGCCGAUCAGUAUCUCUAAUGGGGAGCUCAAAGCUGGGACGAGCGAGAGGGAGGUGGUGAUCAGCGGGACACGGGAGGCGGUCGAUGCGGCGGAGGCGAUGAUCGUGCAGCGGGUCUCGGACGCCGCCAAUAGUCGCCGCCGGCAGCAGGGUGGCGGUGGUGGUGACAGGCGGCCUGUCAAGGAAGUGGAGUAG